GAGUUUGAUCAUGGCUCAGAACGUACGCUGGCGGCACGCCUAACACAUGCAAGUCGAACGAAGUAGCAAUACUUAGUGGCAGACGGGUGAGUAACAUGUAGGUAUCUGCCCUUUGGCCUGGAAUAACACGAGGAAACUUGUGCUAAUACCGGAUAAGUCUUUACAGAGAAAGCUUUAUGCACCAUUGGAUGAGCCUGCACUUGAUUAGUUUGCUGGUGGGGUAAUGGCCUACCAAGACUGUGAUCAAUAGCUGAUUUGAGAGGAUGAUCAGCCACAUUGGGACUGAGACACGGCCCAAACUCCUACGGGAGGCAGCAGUGGGGAAUCUUGCACAAUGGAGGAAACUCUGAUGCAGCGAUGCCGCGUGAGUGAAGAAGGCCCUUGGGUUGUAAAGCUCUUUCGUCGGGGAAGAAAAUGACAGUACCCGAAUAAGAAGGUCCGGCUAACUUCGUGCCAGCAGCCGCGGUAAUACGAAGGGACCUAGCGUAGUUCGGAAUUACUGGGCUUAAAGAGUUCGUAGGUGGUUGAAAAAGUUAGUGGUGAAAUCCCAGAGCUUAACUCUGGAACUGCCAUUAAAACUUUUCAGCUAGAGUAUGAUAGAGGAAAGCAGAAUUUCUAGUGUAGAGGUGAAAUUCGUAGAUAUUAGAAAGAAUACCAAUUGCGAAGGCAGCUUUCUGGAUCAUUACUGACACUGAGGAACGAAAGCAUGGGUAGCGAAGAGGAUUAGAUACCCUCGUAGUCCAUGCCGUAAACGAUGUGUGUUAGACGUUGGAAAUUUAUUUUCAGUGUCGCAGGGAAACCGAUAAACACACCGCCUGGGGAGUACGACCGCAAGGUUAAAACUCAAAUGAAUUGACGGGGACCCGCACAAGUAGUGGAGCAUGUGGUUUAAUUCGAAGAUACGCGCAGAACCUUACCAACACUUGACAUGUUCGUCGCGACUUUAAGAGAUUAAAGUUUUCGGUUCGGCCGGACGAAACACAGGUGCUGCAUGGCUGUCGUCAGCUCGUGUCGUGAGAUGUUGGGUUAAGUCCCGCAACGAGCGCAACCCUCACUUUUAGUUGCCAUCAUUAAGUUGGGCACUCUGAAAGAACUGCCAGUGAUAAGCUGGAGGAAGGUGGGGAUGACGUCAAGUCCUCAUGGCCCUUACGUGUUGGGCUACACACGUGCUACAAUGGUAUCUACAACAGGAAGCAAGACUGCGAAGUUAAGCAAAUCCCUAAAAGAUACCUCAGUUCGGAUUGCACUCUGCAACUCGAGUGCAUGAAGCUGGAAUUACUAGUAAUCGUGGAUCAGCGUGCCACGGUGAAUGCGUUCCCGGGUCUUGUACACACCGCCCGUCACACCAUGGGAGUUGGUUCUACCUUAAGGCAAGGUUUCAAACCCUUGACCACGGUAUAGUCAGCGACUGGGGUGAAGUCGUAACAAGGUACC
rnacentral:rRNA from 1 species